UACGGGGGGGGCAAGCGUUGUUCGGAAUUACUGGGCGUAAAGGGCUCGUAGGCGGCCAACUAAGUCAGACGUGAAAUCCCUCGGCUUAACCGGGGAACUGCGUCUGAUACUGGAUGGCUUGAGGUUGGGAGAGGGAUGCGGAAUUCCAGGUGUAGCGGUGAAAUGCGUAGAUAUGACAUAGAACACCAAUUGCGAAGGCAGCCCGCUACACGGUUAUUGACACUGAGGCACGAAAGCGUGGGGAUCAAACAGG
rnacentral:rRNA from 1 species